AGUGAACCAGUACCGUGAGGGAAAGGCGAAAAGAACCCCGGGAGGGGAGUGAAAUAGAACCUGAAACCGCAUGCAUACAAACAGUAGGAGCCUCACCAGAGGUGACUGCGUACCUUUUGCAUAAUGGGUCAGCGACUUACAUUCUGUGGCGAGCUUAACCGAAUAGGGGAGGCGCAGCGAAAGCGAGUUCGAAAUGAGCGUCCAGUCGCAGGGUGUAGACCCGAAACCAGAUGAGCUAUCCAUGGCCAGGUUGAAGGUGUGGUAACACACACUGGAGGACCGAACCGACUAGUGUUGCAAAAUUAGCGGAUGAGCUGUGGAUAGGGGUGAAAGGCCAAACAAAUCUGGAGAUAGCUGGUUCUCCCCGAAAACUAUUGAGGUAGUGCCUCGUGUGUCGCUCCAGGGGGUAGAGCACUGUUUUGGCUAGGGGGACAUGGAGUCUUACCAAACCAAGGCAAACUCCGAAUACCUGGAAGCGUAAGCACGGGAGACAGAGCACCGGGUGCUAACGUCCGGACUCAAAAGGGAAACAACCCAGACCGCCGGCUAAGGUCCCCAAUAACAGCUAAGUGGAAAACGAAGUGGAAAGGCCGUGACAACCAGGAAGUUGGCUUAGAAGCAGCCAUCCUUCAAAGAAAGCGUAAUAGCUCACUGGUCGAGUCCUUCUGCGCGGAAGAUGUAACGGGGCUAAGCUGUUAACCGAAGCCGCGGAUGCACUGAUUAUUCAGUGCGUGGUAGGGGAGCGUUCUGUAAGUCUGCGAAGGCGGUUCGAGAGGACUGCUGGAGAUAUCAGAAGUGCGAAUGCUGACAUGAGUAACGUUAAAGCAGGUGAAAAGCCUGCUCGCCGUAAGCCCAAGGAUUCCUGCUCUACGUUCAUCGGAGCAGGGUGAGUCGGCUCCUAAGGUCAGGCCGAAAGGCGUAGCCGAUGGGAAUCAGGUUAAUAUUCCUGAACCUGCGUCAGAUGCGAUGGGGGGACGGAGCAUGAAAGAUCAUCCGGGUGUUGGAUGUCCCGGUUGACGAGCGUAGGAGGUCUGCAGGCAAAUCCGCAGACGCAUCUCCAAGGCGAAGUCACGUGCCGCCACGGCGGCGAAGUGAUCGGAAGUGCUUCCAAGAAAAGCCUCUAAGCACCAGUCUGACGCGGACCGUACCGCAAACCGACACUGGUGGGCGAGCUGAAUAUGCUCAGGCGCUUGAGAGAACUCGGGAGAAGGAACUCGGCAAAUUGACACCGUAACUUCGGAAGAAGGUGUGCCGUAGUACCGUGAGAGGAGAGACACCUUGAGCGGGAAUCGGUCUCAGAGAAUAGGUGGCUGCGACUGUUUAUUAAAAACACAGCACUCUGCAAAGUCGAAAGACGACGUAUAGGGUGUGAUGCCUGCCCGGUGCUGGAAGAUUAAUUGAUGGGGUGAGAGCCCUUGAUCGAAGUCCCAGUAAACGGCGGCCGUAACUAUAACGGUCCUAAGGUAGCGAAAUUCCUUGUCGGGUAAGUUCCGACCUGCACGAAUGGCAUAACGAUGGCCACACUGUCUCCUCCCGAGACUCAGUGAAGUUGAAAUGUUUGUGAUGAUGCAAUCUACCCGCGGCUAGACGGAAAGACCCCAUGAACCUUUACUGCAGCUUUGCAUUGAACUGUGAACCGAUUUGUGUAGGAUAGGUGGGAGGCAGAGAAGAGUCCACGCCAGUGGUCUUGGAGCCGACCUUGAAAUACCACCCUGAUUUGUUUGCGGUUCUAACCACGGACAGUGAUCCUGUCUUGGGACCGUGCAUGGUAGGCAGUUUGACUGGGGCGGUCUCCUCCUAAAGGGUAACGGAGGAGUACGAAGGUACGCUAGGUACGGUCGGAAAUCGUGCUGAUAGUGCAAUGGCAAAAGCGUGCUUGACUGCGAGAGCAACAACUCGAGCAGAUGCGAAAGCAGGUCAUAGUGAUCCGGUGGCUCUGAAUGGAAGGGCCAUCGCUCAACGGAUAAAAGGUACUCUGGGGAUAACAGGCUGAUACCGCCCAAGAGUUCAUAUCGACG
rnacentral:rRNA from 1 species